AACGAACGCUGGCGGCAGGCCUAACACAUGCAAGUCGAGCGCCCCGCAAGGGGAGCGGCGGACGGGUGAGUAACGCGUGGGAAUUUUCCUCAAGGUACGGAACAACUCAGGGAAACUUGGGCUAAUACCGUAUGAUGUCUAGCGACCAAAGAUUUAUCGCCUUGGGAUAAGCCCGCGUCAGAUUAGGUAGUUGGUGGGGUAACGGCCUACCAAGCCUGCGAUCUGUAGCUGGUCUGAGAGGACGAUCAGCCACAUUGGGACUGAGACACGGCCCAAACUCCUACGGGAGGCAGCAGUGGGGAAUCUUGCGCAAUGGGCGAAAGCCUGACGCAGCCAUGCCGCGUGAAUGAUGAAGGUCUUAGGAUUGUAAAGUUCUUUCGCUCGUGACGAUGAUGACGGUAACGAGAGAAGAAGCCCCGGCUAACUUCGUGCCAGCCGCCGCGUAA
rnacentral:rRNA from 1 species